GAUGAAGAACGCAGCGAAUUGCGAUAAGUAAUGUGAAUUGCAGAUUUUCAGUGAAUCAUCGAAUCUUUGAACGCACCUUGCGCUCCUUGGUAUUCCGAGGAGCAUGCCUGUUCGAGCGUCAUUUCACCACUCAAGCCUGGCUUGGUGUUGGGCGACGUCCCCUUUGGGGACGCGCCUCGAAACGCUCGGCGGCGUGGCACCGGCUUUAAGCGUAGCAGAAUCUUUCGCUUUGGAAGUCGGGGCCCCGUCUGCCGGAAGACCUACUCGCAAGGUUGACCUCGGAUCAGGCAGGGAUACCCGCUGAACUUAAGCAUAUCAAUAAGCGGAGGA
rnacentral:misc_RNA from 1 species